rnacentral:rRNA from 1 species
GACGAACGCUGGCGGCGUGCUUAACACAUGCAAGUCGAACGGACAGACCCAGCUUUCUGGGUGCUCGCGUUACGAACGGAUGAGUAACUCGUAGGUGGUCUACCCCUAACUUCGAGUUGAGCAUCUGAAACUGGGUGUAGUACAGAACAGGUCAAUCAUUUAACGUCGGUGUUGAAAAGUUAUUUCGGGUAGGGAUGAGCCCGCGGCCUAUCUGCUUGUUGGUGGGGUAAUUGGGUACGAAGGCGUCGACGGGUAGCCGGCCUGGGAGGGUGGACGGCGACAAUGGUCCUGAGAUACGGAGCAGACUGCUACGGGAGGCAGCAGUGGGGAAUAUUGCGCAAUGGGGGCAAGCCUGAUGUAGCGACGUCGCGUGGGGGAUGCCGUGCUUCGGGUUGUAAACCUCUUUCGACAGGGACGAAGAUUUGGUGACGGUACCUGAAUAAGAAGCCACGGCUAACUACGUG